CCUACGGGAGGCAGCAGUGGGGAAUAUUGGGCAAUGGAGGCAACUCUGACCCAGCAACGCCGCGUGAAUGAUGAAGGUCUUCGGAUUGUAAAGUUCUGUGAUGGGGGAUGAACACAAUGACGGUACCCCAAUAGCAAGCCACGGCUAACUACGUGCCAGCAGCCGCGGUAAUACGUAGGUGGCAAGCGUUAUCCGGAAUGACUGGGCGUAAAGGGUGCGUAGGUGGUUUAGUAAGUUGGCGGUGUAAUUCCGGGGGUCAACCUCGGCGCUACCGCCAAAACUAUUAGACUAGAGUGCAGGAGAGGUAAGUGGAAUUCCUAGUGGAGCGGUGGAAUGGGGAGAUAUUAAGAGGAA
rnacentral:rRNA from 1 species